rnacentral:tRNA from 1 species
GCCUCUGGAGCUCCGUCGGUAGAGCAGAGGACUGACAAUCGUCGUGUCGUUGGUUCGAUUCCGACCGGAGGCC